rnacentral:rRNA from 1 species
UACAGAGGUCUCAAGCGUUGUUCGGAUUCAUUGGGCGUAAAGGGUGCGUAGGCGGCGCGGUAAGUCGGGUGUGAAAUCUCGGAGCUUAACUCCGAAACUGCAUUCGAUACUGCCGUGCUUGAGGACUGGAGAGGAGACUGGAAUUUACGGUGUAGCGGUGAAAUGCGUAGAUAUCGUAAGGAAGACCAGUGGCGGAAGGCGGGUCUCUAGACAGUUCCUGACGCUGAGGCACGAAGGUCAGGGGGAGCAAACGGG